GAUGAACGCUAGCGGCAGGCUUAAUACAUGCAAGUCGAGGGGCAGCAGGUCUGUAGCAAUACAGAUGCUGGCGACCGGCAAACGGGUGCGGAACACGUACAGAACCUUCCUUCAAGUGGGAGAUAGCCCAGGGAAACUUGGAGUAAUAUCCCAUAGGAUAGUGGAGUGGCAUCACUCAGCUAUUAAAGAUUCAUCGCUUGAAGAUGGCUGUGCGGCUGAUUAGGUAGUUGGCGGGGUAACGGCCCACCAAGCCUUCGAUCAGUAACUGGUGUGAGAGCACGACCAGUCACACGGGCACUGAGACACGGGCCCGACUCCUACGGGAGGCAGCAGUAAGGAAUAUUGGGCAAUGGAGGCAACUCUGACCCAGCCAUGCCGCGUGGAGGAUGAAGGUCCUCUGGAUUGUAAACUUCUUUUAUUUGGGAAGAAAUGCCGACUUUCUAGUUGGUUUGACGGUACCAGAUGAAUAAGCACCGGCUAACUUCGUGCCAGCAGCCGCAGUAAUAC
rnacentral:rRNA from 1 species